rnacentral:rRNA from 1 species
GUGGGGAAUCUUAGACAAUGGGGGCAACCCUGAUCUAGCCAUGCCGCGUGAGUGAUGAAGGCCUUAGGGUCGUAAAGCUCUUUCGCUGGGGAAGAUAAUGACGGUACCCAGUAAAGAAACCCCGGCUAACUCCGUGCCAGCAGCCGCGGUAAUACGGAGGGGGUUAGCGUUGUUCGGAAUUACUGGGCGUAAAGCGCGCGUAGGCGGAUUGGAAAGUUGGGGGUGAAAUCCCGGGGCUCAACCCUGGAAUGGCCUUCAAAACUGCCAGUCUUGAGGUCGAGAGAGGUGAGUGGAAUUCCGAGUGUAGAGGUGAAAUUCGUAGAUAUUCGGAGGAACACCAGUGGCGAAGGCGGCUCACUGGCUCGAUACUGACGCUGAGGUGCGAAAGCGUGGGGAGCAAACAGGAUUAGAAACCCUAGUAGUCC